UAAUGCACCUUGCCUAAGUCAUGUGACGUUGAUCACAUGAUCAAAGGCCUGCACUGGCUUCCUCCCUGCAGACAUGUGGGGGAAAGCCAAGUGACAGAGCUGUUGCAGACACCGACAACUGUGAGCUGGAGCCUUGUAGGGUCAUCAUACACCAUACAGAAGCUGGAAUUGGCCAGGUGACCCUUUAAGGGUUUAAGGAUGGCGAGCUAACGAUUGGCCAGAAGACCUCUCCUUCAUCUUCCUACUGGUCUGGUAGGAAGAUGUCUCAGACAACGUUCUGCCCACCCCCAACUCCUUAACCAAUUCUUGGAUUCACACACCUCCCUUUUCAGUACUCUUUGACAAAGCACUUGGAUAAUUUUCAUGGACACUCGGAUCACAUCCUGGACAAUUAAUUCGGUGUGAAUCCAUUGGAUCUUCAAGUCCUGCAAAGGAGUGUUAACUAUUCCGGGGAUCAGACCGAAGUCAGAGUGUUCCUCUAGAACGUUCACUAGAACUAGAACUUUCAAAGUGCACUUUAACUUAUUUAUCAGUGCUGCAGCAGUGGAACCUGUUAAUUUGUGUUUGUUUAUUUUAUUUAUAAUUAUUCAAUAUAUUGCCUUUGCAAACUAUUUCAACGUGUUGUGUAUUCUUUUAUUAUUGACAACCAGCUCCAGCAGUUGUUCCUGGGUUCUGAUAAAGUCAGUAUACACUAGCCAUACUUCAUUUAACUUAAUUCAUUAGCGCUUCCAA